rnacentral:RNase_P_RNA from 2 species
CCAGUAUGCCGUUUUAUCGCUUCCGGUUUUGGCCGGAAGAGGAAAGUCCGGGCAGCUCAGAACACUGCACUCCCGAAAGGGAGAUACCCGCGAGGGUAUGAAGACGGAACAGAGAACAACCGUCCGCUCUUAUGCGGAUAAGGGUGAAAAGGCGGGGUAAGAGCCCACCGGCCCGUAUGGUGACAUCGGGUGCUGUCCGUCCUGCAGGCUGAAAGGCCGCGUAUAUCCCGGUUUCAGGUUUUCUGAAACUGUAUGUUCUGGCAGAAUCCGGUGAUUCCGGAUACCGGGAGGGGUAGGCCGCUCAGAGAAAUGAUAAGAAUUCCGCUUCCGCGGAAUACAGAACCUGGCUUACAGGCAAACUGGCCAA